UGCAGCGAACGGUCAGUAACACGUAGUCAAUCUGCCCUUAGGAUGGAGAUAACCCUGGGAAACUGGGGCUAAUAUCCGAUAGAUAGAGAUGUCUGGAAAGAUUUUCUAUCUAAAGGUUCUUAGAUACAUGCUUCUAGGAAUGCCUAAGGAUGAGACUGCGGCCGAUCAGGCUGUUGGUGGGGUAACGGCCCACCAAACCUAUAACCGGUACGGGCCCUGAAAGGGGGAGCCCGGAGAUGGGAACUGAGACAAGGUCCCAGGCCCUACGGGGCGCAGCAGGCGCGAAACCUCCACAAUGCGCGAAAGCGUGAUGGGGUUACCCCGAGUGCUGUCCGUGAGGAUAGCUUUUCCUCAGUGUAAGGAGCUGGGGGAAUAAAGGGGGGGCAAGUCUGGUGUCAGCCGCCGCGGUAAUACCAGCCCCCUGAGUGAUAGGGACAUCUAUGUAGCCUAAAGCGUCCGUAGCCGGCUUAUCAAGUCUUUCGUUAAAUCUGACGACUUAAUCGCUAGACCGCGGAAGAUACUGCUAAGCUAGAGGGUGGGAGAGCUUGACGGUAGUCUCGGGGUAGGGGUGAAAUCCUAUAAUCCCGAGAGGACCACCAGUGGCGAAGGCGGUCAACUAGAACACGCCUGACGGUGAGGGACGAAAGCUGGGGGAGCGAACCGGAUUAGACACCCGGGUAGUCCCAGCUGUAAACGAUGCGGGCUAGGUGUUGGAGCAGCUACGAGCUGCUCCAGUGCCGCAGAGAAGUUGUUAAGCCCGCCGCUUGGGAAGUAAGAUCGCAGGUCUGAAUUU
rnacentral:rRNA from 1 species